CCUACGGGCGACAGCAGUGGGGAAUAUUGGGCAAUGGGCGCAAGCCUGACCCAGCAACGCCGCGUGAAGGAAGAAGGCUUUCGGGUUGUAAACUUCUUUUAAGAGGGAAGAGCAGAAGACGAUACCUCGCGAAUAAACCGCGGCUAACUACGGGCCAGCAGCCGCGGUAAUACGGAGGUCGCAAGCGUUGUCCGGAUUUACUGGGUGUAAAGGGCGUGUAGCCGGGCUGACAAGGCAGAUGUGAAAUUCCGGGGCUCAACCCCGGACCUGCAUUUGAAACUGUUGGUCUUGAGUAUCGGAGAGGUAGGCGGAAUGCGUGGUGUAGCGGUGAAAUGCGUAGAUAUUAGGAGGAACACCAGUGGCGAAGGCGGCCUGCUGGACGACAACUGACGGUGAGGCGCGAAAGCGUGGGGAGCAAACAGGAUUAGAUACCCCUGUAGUC
rnacentral:rRNA from 1 species